rnacentral:lncRNA from 1 species
UGGAGAAAUGGUUGGAAGCCAUGGGACGAAUGCCUAGAGUUUUGAAGGAAUGUAGACAAGGUCUCCAGAUUUGCCACCCAUGCUGAGUGCCGUGGUGUGAUCAUGGCUUAUUUCAACCUCAACCUCCCCCACUCAAGCGAUCCUCCUGCCUCAGCCUCUGGAGUAGCUGGGACUACAGGCACGCACCACCACACCCAGCCAUAAUUUGCCUCUUGCUGUAACUAAAAGGUCACAAAAACAAAGAAUUCUAAAAAAUCUUCUUCUUAAGUGGUAUGUUUAGUAUUUAUCAUGAUGACAAUGUUCUAAAUUGCACCUGCCUCCACUAGCAGAAUGCCAGGAUUACUGCCAGACAGAGAAUUCGGACUGCU